rnacentral:rRNA from 1 species
UAUUCCCCACUGCUGCCUCCCGUAGGAGUCUGGGCCGUGUCUCAGUCCCAAUGUGGCCGUUCAACCUCUCAGUCCGGCUACUGAUCGUCGACUUGGUGAGCCGUUACCUCACCAACUAUCUAAUCAGACGCGAGCCCAUCUCUGAGUGAUAAAUCUUUGAUAACAAAGUCAUGCGGCUUCGUUAUGUUAUGAGGUAUUACCAUCCGUUUCCAGAAGCUAUCCCUCUCUCAGAGGCAGGUUGCUCACGUGUUACUCACCCGUCCGCCACUAAGAAUUCUCAGUAAACCAAAAAUUCUCCGUUCGACUUGCAUGUGUUAAGCGUGCCGCCAGCGUUCAUCCUGAGCCAA